CCUACGGGUGGCAGCAGUGGGGAAUAUUGCACAAUGGGGGAAACCCUGAUGCAGCGACGCCGCGUGAGUGAAGAAGGAUUUCGGUACGUAAAGCUCUAUCAGCAGGGAAGAAAAUAACAGUACCUGACUAAGAAGCCCCUGCUAACUACGUGUCAGCAGCCGCGGUAAUACGUAGGGGGCAAGGGUUAUCCGAAUUUACGGGUGGUAAAGGGAGCGGAGACGGCAGGGCAAGUCUGAAGUGAAAUCCCAUGGCUUAACCAUGGAACUGCUUUGGAUACUGGGCAGCUGGAGUGCAGGAGAGGUAAGUGGAAUUCCUAGUGUAGCGGUGAAAUGCGUAGAGAUUAGGAGGAACACCAGUGGCGAAGGCGGCUUACUGGACUGUAACUGACGUUGAGGCUCGAAAGCGUGGGGAGCAAACAGGAUUAGAUACCCCGGUAGUC
rnacentral:rRNA from 1 species